rnacentral:miRNA from 1 species
UCACAACCUGCAUGAAGGAGGUAA